UACGGAGGGUGCAAGCGUUGUCCGGAAUCACUGGGCGUAAAGGGCGCGUAGGCGGCUCAUGAAGGCUGUGGUGAAAGUCCGGGGCUCAACCUCGGAUCGGCCGUGGCGACUCGUGGGCUGGAGCACUGUAGAGGCGGGUGGAAUUCCGGGUGUAGCGGUGGAAUGCGUAGAGAUCCGGAAGAACACCAGUGACGAAGGCGGCCCGCUGGGCAGUGGCUGACGCUGAGGCGCGACAGCGUGGGGAGCAAACAGG
rnacentral:rRNA from 1 species